rnacentral:rRNA from 1 species
UACGUAGGGUGCAAGCGUUAAUCGGAAUUACUGGGCGUAAAGCGUGCGCAGGCGGCUAUGCAAGACAGAUGUGAAAUCCCCGGGCUCAACCUGGGAACUGCAUUUGUGACUGCAUGGCUAGAGUACGGUAGAGGGGGAUGGAAUUCCGCGUGUAGCAGUGAAAUGCGUAGAUAUGCGGAGGAACACCGAUGGCGAAGGCAAUCCCCUGGACCUGUACUGACGCUCAUGCACGAAAGGCGUGGGGAGCAAACGAGG